rnacentral:piRNA from 1 species
UGCAUGACUUCCGACACUGCCACAGCCCC